CGAACGGCCCCGCCCCAAGUUCCCUGGAACCGGACGCUACAGAGGGUGAGAGCCCCGUACCCGGGCGGCGGCCCGCCGCGUGUGAAGCCCCUUCGACGAGUCGAGUUGUUUGGGAAUGCAGCUCCAAUCGGGAGGUAAAUUCCUUCUAAGGCUAAAUACCGGCCGGAGACCGAUAGCGCACAAGUAGAGUGAUCGAAAGAUGAAAAGCACUUUGAAAAGAGAGUCAAACAGCACGUGAAAUUGUUGAAAGGGAAGCGCUCGCGGCCAGACCCGGCCGCCUCGGAUCAGCCUCCGCAUGCGUUGGCGCACUCCGCUGCGGCCGGGCCAGCGACGGCUCGGGCGGUUGGACAAAGGCUUCGGGAACGUAGCUUCCCCCCGGGGAAGUGUUAUAGCCCGUUGCGGAAUGCAACCAGCCCGGACCGAGGACCGCGCUUCGGCAAGGACGCUGGCGUAAUGGUCGUGAGCGGCCCG
rnacentral:rRNA from 1 species